AGGCACCUUUAUUAAAACAAGUGGAACACUGCAACGUUUCAACUCCCAGUGGACUCUAUGGAGUCAAAAUGUUGCAGUAUUCCACUUGUUCUAAUAAAGGUGCCU